ACAGGUGAUGAGUGAGACCAGGUGAACAGAGCUGAGGAACUGAUACAUAUAGGGGAGGUAAUAACAGGUGAUGAGUGAGACCAGGUGAACAGAGCUGAGGAACUGAUACAUAUAGGGGAGGUAAUAACAGGUGAUGAGUGAGACCAGGUGAACAGAGCUGAGGAACUGAUACAUAUAGGGGAGGUAAUAACAGGUGAUGAGUGAGACCAGGUGAACAGAGCAGGGAACUGAUACAUAUAGGGGAGGUAAUAACAGGUGAUGAGUGAGACCAGGUGAACAGAGCUGAGGAACUGAUACAUAUAGGGGAGGUAAUAACAGGUGAUGAGUGAGACCAGGUGAACAGAGCUGAGGAACUGAUACAUAUAGGGGAGGUAAUAACAGGUGAUGAGUGAGACCAGGUGAACAGAGCAGGGAACUGAUACAUAUAGGGGAGGUAAUAACAGGUGAUGAGUGAGACCAGGUGAACAGAGCUGAGGAACUGAUACAUAUAGGGGAGGUAAUAACAGGUGAUGAGUGAGACCAGGUGAACAGAGCAGGGAACUGAUACAUAUAGGGGAGGUAAUAACAGGUGAUGAGUGAGACCAGGUGAACAGAGCUGAGGAACUGAUACAUAUAGGGGAGGUAAUAACAGGUGAUGAGUGAGACCAGGUGAACAGAGCAGGGAACUGAUACAUAUAGGGGAGGUAAUAACAGGUGAUGAGUGAGACCAGGUGAACAGAGCUGAGGAACUGAUACAUAUAGGGGAGGUAAUAACAGGUGAUGAGUGAGACCAGGUGAACAGAGCAGGGAACUGAUACAUAUAGGGGAGGUAAUAACAGGUGAUGAGUGAGACCAGGUGAACAGAGCAGGGAACUGAUACAUAUAGGGGAGGUAAUAACAGGUGAUGAGUGAGACCAGGUGAACAGAGCUGAGGAACUGAUACAUAUAGGGGAGGUAAUAACAGGUGAUGAGUGAGACCAGGUGAACAGAGCUGAGGAACUGAUACAUAUAGGGGAGGUAAUAACAGGUGAUGAGUGAGACCAGGUGAACAGAGCUGAGGAACUGAUACAUAUAGGGGAGGUAAUAACAGGUGAUGAGUGAGACCAGGUGAACAGAGCUGAGGAACUGAUACAUAUAGGGGAGGUAAUAACAGGUGAUGAGUGAGACCAGGUGAACAGAGCAGGGAACUGAUACAUAUAGGGGAGGUAAUAACAGGUGAUGAGUGAGACCAGGUGAACAGAGCUGAGGAACUGAUACAUAUAGGGGAGGUAAUAACAGGUGAUGAGUGAGACCAGGUGAACAGAGCAGGGAACUGAUACAUAUAGGGGAGGUAAUAACAGGUGAUGAGUGAGACCAGGUGAACAGAGCUGAGGAACUGAUACAUAUAGGGGAGGUAAUAACAGGUGAUGAGUGAGACCAGGUGAACAGAGCAGGGAACUGAUACAUAUAGGGGAGGUAAUAACAGGUGAUGAGUGAGACCAGGUGAACAGAGCUGAGGAACUGAUACAUAUAGGGGAGGUAAUAACAGGUGAUGAGUGAGACCAGGUGAACAGAGCUGAGGAACUGAUACAUAUAGGGGAGGUAAUAACAGGUGAUGAGUGAGACCAGGUGAACAGAGCUGAGGAACUGAUACAUAUAGGGGAGGUAAUAACAGGUGAUGAGUGAGACCAGGUGAACAGAGCUGAGGAACUGAUACAUAUAGGGGAGGUAAUAACAGGUGAUGAGUGAGACCAGGUGAACAGAGCAGGGAACUGAUACAUAUAGGGGAGGUAAUAACAGGUGAUGAGUGAGACCAGGUGAACAGAGCAGGGAACUGAUACAUAUAGGGGAGGUAAUAACAGGUGAUGAGUGAGACCAGGUGAACAGAGCAGGGAACUGAUACAUAUAGGGGAGGUAAUAACAGGUGAUGAGUGAGACCAGGUGAACAGAGCAGGGAACUGAUACAUAUAGGGGAGGUAAUAACAGGUGAUGAGUGAGACCAGGUGAACAGAGCUGAGGAACUGAUACAUAUAGGGGAGGUAAUAACAGGUGAUGAGUGAGACCAGGUGAACAGAGCUGAGGAACUGAUACAUAUAGGGGAGGUAAUAACAGGUGAUGAGUGAGACCAGGUGAACAGAGCUGAGGAACUGAUACAUAUAGGGGAGGUAAUAACAGGUGAUGAGUGAGACCAGGUGAACAGAGCUGAGGAACUGAUACAUAUAGGGGAGGUAAUAACAGGUGAUGAGUGAGACCAGGUGAACAGAGCUGAGG